rnacentral:rRNA from 1 species
UGGGGAAUUUUCCGCAAUGGGCGAAAGCCUGACGGAGCAAUGCCGCGUGGAGGUGGAAGACCUACGGGUCGUCAACUUCUUUUCUCGGAGAAGAAACAAUGACGGUAUCUGAGGAAUAAGCAUCGGCUAACUCUGUGCCAG